UGCCGGCGACCGGCGCACGGGUGAGUAACACGUAUGCAACCUACCCUUUACAGCGGGAUAACCGGAAGAAAUUUCGCCUAAUACCGCAUAUACUCCUUGGGAGGCAUCUUCCGAGGGGGAAAGAAUUUCGGUGAAGGAUGGGCAUGCGUCGCAUUAGUUAGUUGGCGGUGUAACGGACCACCAAGACGACGAUGCGUAGGGGUUCUGAGAGGAAGGUCCCCCACACUGGUACUGAGACACGGACCAGACUCCUACGGGAGGCAGCAGUGAGGAAUAUUGGUCAAUGGCCGAGAGGCUGAACCAGCCAAGUCGCGUGAGGGAAGAAUGUCCUAUGGAUUGUAAACCUCUUUUGUCAGGGAGCAAAGUCACCCACGUGUGGGUGUUGGAGAGUACCUGAAGAAAAAGCAUCGGCUAACUCCGUGCCAGCAGCCGCGGUAAUACGGAGGAUGCGAGCGUUAUCCGGAUUUAUUGGGUUUAAAGGGUGCGUAGGCGGGUUAUCAAGUCAGCGGUAAAAUCGUGGAGCUCAACUCCAUCCAGCCGUUGAAACUGAUGAUCUUGAGUGGGCGAGAAGUAUGCGGAAUGCGUGGUGUAGCGGUGAAAUGCAUAGAUAUCACGCAGAACUCCGAUUGCGAAGGCAGCAUACCGGCGCCCGACUGACGCUGAAGCACGAAAGCGUGGGUAUCGAACAGGAUUAGAUACCCUGGUAGUCCACGCAGUAAACGAUGAAUACUAAUUGUGUGCUCCGAAUGAGGAGUGCGUGAUACAGCGAAAGCGUUAAGUAUUCCACCUGGGGAGUACGCCGGCAACGGUGAAACUCAAAGGAAUUGACGGGGGCCCGCACAAGCGGAGGAACAUGUGGUUUAAUUCGAUGAUACGCGAGGAACCUUACCCGGGCUCAAACGCAGGAGGGAUGUUUUUGAAAGGAGGCAGCUCUACGGAGUCUCCUGCGAGGUGCUGCAUGGUUGUCGUCAGCUCGUGCCGUGAGGUGUCGGCUUAAGUGCCAUAACGAGCGCAACCCCUACCGCCAGUUGCCAACGGGUAAAGCCGGGAACUCUGGCGGGACUGCCGGCGCAAGCUGUGAGGAAGGCGGGGAUGACGUCAAAUCAGCACGGCCCUUACGUCCGGGGCGACACACGUGUUACAAUGGCAGGUACAGCGGGAAGCCACUUGGCGACAAGGCGCGGAACCCGAAAACCUGUCUCAGUUCGGAUUGGAGUCUGCAACCCGACUCCAUGAAGCUGGAUUCGCUAGUAAUCGCGCAUCAGCCACGGCGCGGUGAAUACGUUCCCGGGCCUUGUACACACCGCCCGUCAAGCCAUGGAAGCCGGGGGUGCCUGAAGUGCGUGACCGCAAGGAGCGCCCUAAGGUAAAACCGGUGACUGGGGCUAAGUCGUAACAAGGUAGCCGUACCGGAAGGUGCGGCUGGAACACCUCCUUUCU
rnacentral:rRNA from 2 species